UAGACAUUUGCUAUACUUAUACAAAUUGUAUAAUUUAGGAUCAUAAGAAAUCAAAGUUUACUGUACAUGCGCAUAUAUAAUGCCAUAACUUCUAACAUAUGAUAUCAACCAUUCAUAAUUGAUGCAGGUGGUUGUGAUUAGAGCUCCUUAUCUCUUGCAGUAGCAAAAUCCAACCGACGAGUCAAUUCAAUUUGCCACACACUUUCUAACGGGCUGACCUAUGACAGCAAUACAACUUAUGGCAGCGACAAGAAGGAGAAGAAGAAAAAAGGAAGAGAAGGGAGAAG
rnacentral:lncRNA from 1 species